rnacentral:rRNA from 1 species
CAGGUCUUGACAUCCUCUGAAAACCCUAGAGAUAGGGCUUCUCCUUCGGGAGCAGAGUGACAGGUGGUGCAUGGUUGUCGUCAGCUCGUGUCGUGAGAUGUUGGGUUAAGUCCCGCAACGAGCGCAACCCUUGAUCUUAUUUGCCAUCAUUAAGUUGGGCACUCUAAGGUGACUGCCGGUGACAAAUCGGAGGAAGGUGGGGAUGACGUCAAAUCAUCAUGCCCCUUAUGACCUGGGCUACACACGUGCUACAAUGGACGGUACAAAGAGCUGCAAGACCGCGAGGUGGAGCUAAUCUCAUAAAACCGUUCUCAGUUCGGAUUGUAGGCUGCAACUCGCCUACAUGAAACUGGAAUCGCUAGUAAUCGCGGAUCAGCAUGCCGCGGUGAAUACGUUCCCGGGUCUUGUACACACCGCCCGUCACACCACGAGAGUUUGUAACACCCGAAGUCGGUGGGGUAACCUUUUUGGAGCCAGCCUCCUAAGGUGGGACAGAUGAUUGGGGUG